AAUAGUGUCAUCUCCAUUUUACUGACGAAGAAAUGAAACGUCAAUGUGAUCUGACUUGAGUCACAGAGCUAGUAAAUGGGUCAUGUUUUCUAACUUUUGUUUCCAGUGUAUCCUGUGUUUUACCACAUCCCUUUGUUUCUUUAUUACCUCCAUCUGUUUAUACAUCCUUUAAUAUUUCCGUGAACUCACUUGAAUUAGCAAUCUUCUCCUCACCCCUCUUAGGAGGUAAAGAGGAAAAAACGAAGCUUUGAAGUUAUAGACAACUGGAUAUUGAUCUCUGUUCAUCUACUUCCCAGGUGCCUGUCUUUGGACAAAUACAACUUAUCUAAGCCUUAGAUUUGUCCUCUUUGAGAGGGGAGAUGAUAUAAUCAGUGUAAAGAUCAAUGCACAAAAAGGAGAGUUUCAUGAGAGCAGCAAUUUUUGUGUUUCAUUCACGGCUGUAUCAUGAGCACCCCAAACAAGGCUUGCUACCUGCCGGCAUUCAGCCAGUAUCUGUGGAAUGAAGGCAUGGAUGCAGGGAAGUCCCUAGCUGAGGGCCUGACUUAAUAAAAGGAGCGCAACGAAAGUGGCCAUUAUCUCUCACCUACUGGCCCAGCCUCUUUACCUGUCCCUCUCCUGCUUUACCCAGCCCUUCAGAUGGCACAUCCCGUUUUGCUGUAGGGCAUUGCUGGGGAUUUGCUUUCCUAGGUUUAGAGCGUUCGGGUUUAGGCCGAUCUUCAGGAGAGGAGCCUGGAGGUCUCUGAGCAGCCAGGAGAGGGCAGCAGCCUCGCCGCGGUGGCUCAGGCCGGGGCAGGGCACCCUCGCGGAGGAGAUUGCGGCGGACCCGGAAGUACUCGGCCACAGUCGCAUCCCCGGCACGCCGGCGGGGGAAAAAGGCUGAGCGCACCGCCCCCCAACCCAGCUGCACAUCCCCAGGAAUUCUCGGGCAGGAAUUGGAAUGCCUUACUAUUCGAUGACCCUCUUGAAUUAUUUAACACUUCCAUCAUUUUUUUGAAGUUUGAGAUGUGUAUGUAUAUAUUAUCAUCUGAACAAUAUUCAAAACCGUCUAUGAAAUGAUAUCACUCCUAUACCUCUUAUAGCUUUCCACAGCACCUGCUGAGAGCACUGUCCCAAGCAGAUCAAUGAGUAUGAAUGGGCCCAAGGAUAAAUCGGGUUGGAGCACACCUCUAGGUAAAAUGGAAAGGCAGCUGUGAUGCAGGGCCCCUACUUAUUUUUGUGAAUGUCUGCUCUAAGAGACCAAAGUUUGGGACAUUGUUUUUUAAAUUUCAGUAAUGUAUUUGCACUCUACUUCUUAUUUGGGGCAUUUUUUAAUAAUCAGGUUUUACAUCCUAGAAGGUAUCAGGCUAAAGUCAGAAUAAUGCUGUAACAGUCAUGAUUUUGUCCAUAUGGAAGAUAAUAUUUUAUAAUUUACUGUAAGAAAUACUAUAGGGUGCUAUUCAGCAUAUUUUUGGACUUUUUGGCUUUAGUAACAGAAUGAGCCAAUACUGUUCAAGAAUAGUUUACAGUAGAUGCUGGAAAGAACAUAGAACUUGGAGCCCAUUUAAAGGAAUUAAGGAAUUCUCCAAUAUGAUUCUUGCUGUGUAUUAGAGCCAGCAUUUCUUUCCCCUGUGAAAAUGAACCCAUGAUUUUAUAAUGUAUGUCAUUGGGAAAAUAUGAAUCAAUUCAUGGAAUUUGAAAUAAGAACAUAGGGAAAAAAUAGUUCACAAUUUUUUGAUGAUACAAACAGGUAAUAUCCUGUAUAAAUUAGCCUCUGAGAUAAAUGGUAAUACAAUCUGCUUUGUCACACUUUUCUUUACAUUGUCCUACAUAUCUGACUUGGAUUUCACCCAUAGGUAUGGUGCUAAUAUACCCACUAUUAUGGUUGCGGCAAAAAAAAAGCAGCUAAAAAAUGAUUUGCCCACAUUAACUUUGCUCAGUUUAUAAUUUGUAAAAAGAAUUUUACAACAUUCACUCAGGCAAGUUUUCAAUAGAAUAGAACAAGAAAGUAUGUCUAAAUUGGCUUUUAAGAUAAGUAUCAGGCUAGCGCCAAAAUAAAUUUUGACUGUGGCUUGCAAAUCAAUUCAUUUUACAUUCCUUCAUCCCCUCAGUAAGCCCUACGUAUGUGCUAGGUACGGUGUUAAGAGGUAAAGAUACAGAAAUAAAGACAGUCACUGCCCAGAAGCAGUUUCUUCAUGAGAUGGAGAGAGACAAGUUAACUAUGAGCACAGUAGGAUUAUGACAGAAUUGUUGCUUCAGGAGUUUCAGAAACACCUGGAAUCCUAGCUUAGAGUUGGAAUGAGCCUGGGAGCUUGGAAGGACUUCCAGAAAGUAGGGAAGUUAAGGGGACUAGCAUUCCAGGAAUAGGAAAGGUACGUGCAAAGGAAAGCAAGCCAGAAAGUCCUGAAUUUUGAGAAUCAAGGGUUGUCUUAUUCUUUAUCACACAUACCAAAUGACUAGUUUUGUCCCAAGUCCUAAUAAAGUCAUGAAACAGAAAACAUAGAGGAUUCUUACUUAUAUUAAAAAGUAAUUUCUAAAAAGCAUUACUUUCAAGAUUAACUUUUAAGUAUUUUGGCCUUUGUAGUAUAUCACGGACAAGAUAAACUGAGGGGAAGAAAGAGCUAACAGAGAUGCAGAGAAGCAGAAGGCAAGAGGGACAGAGUGUGAGAAAGCAUGUAGAGAAAGGAAGUGGUUUUACAGAGAUUUACAAGCGAUUUUGUUUCCUUUGCUCCUUUCUUCCUUCCUUUGCUCUGUUUCUCCUUUCCUGCCUCUUCCCUCUUUUCCUCCUUCCCUCCUAUCUCCCUUCCAUCCCCCCUCCUUUCUUUCUUAUUCCUAAAGAGAUCUCCAGAAACUUACAUGCUUUAGAAACCUGCUCCCACGGAUGGUGGAUGGGGUAAACCUUUUUCUGACCCUUCUCGUCACUUGCACUCCAGGCACCAGGAGAGGGAGAAGCCAACUGCCACCAUUUAGGGGAAGGAAGAGGCUGGAAAGAGGCGCUGAGAACUAUCUACUGGGAGAGGCAAGUGUCCACUUCUGAGAAGGAGGACGAAAUCAGGAGGAAGAAGGAAAAAGAAGAAAGGAUAGGGAGGAAAAAGGCAACACUUUGAAUCUUUACAUAAAACUGUAUAAUUCAUUUCUGCUUUGGGAAGAUGGAAAAGACUUUUUGUCCCUUUCUGAGAGACAGCAAGAAACUUUCAAGCAUGGGUAUGUGAUUUGGGGUAACUAUGUAACUAGAAAUACUGAUAGAAAAAUAAUCUUUCCUAUUCCUUUUAUUUUUUUAACAACAGCAACUAAAAAGAGCAUGAGGAAUUUGAAGACAGAGAUGAGUUGUGUAGCACCAACAUUUUCUUUCUGCCUGACCUUAAUAUCUGAUGAAUUAAAAGGUCAGUUUUAAGUGCACCACAUGAUAGGCUUCCAUCACUUUUAUUAGCCCAGGUGGUAAAUAUGAAGAAAAAUAAUUAUCGUUUAUUAAAUUAUCAUUCCGUGUAUUUUUUUUAAUCCAGCAGGAGGAGCUCUAACAUGCUUUACAGCCCAAAUUUUAAAAACAAAACUUUUUAAAGCUAACAGAGAAAAACAGAGAGGCAUUGUGCCUUGCAGGCUGCCAUGUCAGUGAACAAAUAUGUGACUAAGUCCAAUUAAAUGCUUCGUGAGAAGCCAAGGAAGCCAAGCGAUGAUACUCGUGGAGACAGAACGGCCCACAUUUCCUCCCUUCCACGAGCCUCCUCUUUCUGAUGCAGUUAAGCUGGGACUAGUCUGUAGUAUUAGCUCUUACAAAAGAGGGAGCAAAAGGAUGAUUUCUGGGCAAGACUAGAUGUAAUUCUUUCCCUCUGAAAGUGUCUUAUUGUUUCUAAACAAGUCUUUGACACUGGCUCAGGAAUUUAAAACACAUUUAAAAACAGAAUUUUCAUUGUUGGUUGAAGGCACUAUGAAACUUCUAAAGGUUCAGUUGCUUCUACUCAGUGGUUUGUCAGAGGGUUUUUUUUAAAUGAGAGAAAUGCUGUGUUUGUAAAAAUUGGUGCUAAAAGGGUAACGAAUCAUACGUCCCCUGGGCCAUGUAAAGAGUCUGCAGAAAGAAUUAGAGCGUUCUAACACACAUGCUAACACACACACACACACACACACAAACUGGAACUCAAAGAAUUUACUCAGGAACAGUGAGGAGUGUAUGAAUUUAACAGUUAUGGGAUUUUUAGGGUAAGCCUUUCCAUUUUGGACAGUGUUGUGGGAGUGGAAUGGAUGAGUGGGCAUAUACGAUGAUCAGAAUUACUUAACCUGAAGGAAAUUUUCAACCAAUCCAUUUUAAUCUCUUGCCAACAAGAAGUCAAACUUUUGUUUUACACCUUAAUGGUAUGCUCACAUUUCAAAUUUUUAUACAGGCUCCUACAGAAACUUUAACUAGACCAAUUCAGACCAAAGUCACUAAAUAAAGCUAGUCUAGACGGAAAAUCUAUGAAAACCGUAUGUCUUUUAGGCAUCUGUCUUACAAAAACUACCAUCAUCCCAGAGAAAUUGUUCACAAAAUAUGCUUUUAGGAAAACACUGCUGUACUGACCAUGGAGGGCUGUACUUAAGAAGACGGCUGGACUCGGAAAGAAUAAAGCCAAAAUGUUUAUAAAUGAAAGGCUCUCAUUUUCACAUACAUCUAACUGCCUGUAAACAUUACUGAAAGGCUGGGCCAAGCAGAUAUCAUUUAUCUUACCAUUAUUCUAGAAGCGAUCAAAAAAAUUUACAGUUUUGUUCCUCCUCACUACUACAGAACAUUAGACCAGGGGAUCUCAAAGCAAUUCUGUUCUCACCCACAGAAAACUGUUUUGAAUAAUGUUGUAAGUGGAUGAGGCCAAUAAACCAGAACAUUUUCUUCUGAUUAUUACCUCAUCCUGCUGGCCUGCCAAACACAGCUAGCAGGCAGGUGUCCGAUAUAAGUUACUAGAGGAAGACUGUUCUGUAUAAUUGGUGUAGGGAUCAUCUGAGAGACAAGGGAAAUCAGAAGGACUAGGGUACAGAGGAAGGGUGCAAUGAGAAUGCAGUAAAGAGGAAUAUUUUAAAAGUUUGCUUUUCCAAUUCAGCAUUGCUUUCUGAACUAAACACAAUGGUCAGUGCUACCUUCAGUAUUCUAGGUAUAUAAUGUUUCACCUUAAGAUGCAUUUUAAUUUUAAUAAGUGGUAAGACAUCCACAGAAAAAAAUAUAAAUGCAAACUUUAGUGACAAAAAUAACAUUCUAACUGAAAACUAAAUAGCAAUGGAGCCUAUGAAAGUAUUUAUGAAUUGCAAAGAUUACUUGUAAUCCUCUAGAAUAUUUUACUGAAACUUAUUUCUCUGCAGAAAAGGAGAUGUUGGAACAACAAUUCAGUAGUAAUAAUUAUUGGCAUGAAUAACUCCAUUUUUUAGUCACCUAGAAGACUGUGAAUGAACAAUAUACAUCAAAUAGCCACAUAUGGCAAAAAGGUCCUAAGUUGGAAGAGAAAGAUACCAGGAAAAAAAGGGAAAUCUACUAGAUGUAAUCAAUCAUACUCCAACGUUUUAAGCAAACACCAGAAACACUAUUUCAAUGUGUUUUAUCAAAGAUGUUGUGCUUUAAAAUGAAUUUUCAAUAUAAGUAUGAGUUUUCAGGCAUUAAUAAGAUAGUGAUGGAGUAAUUUAGAGUGUUUGAAAUAUUAAAAUGAAUAAAGCAAUUAUAUCAGCAUCCCUUAUUAAAGAUUCCCAGACUGAACUAUAGAACAUUUAAGUAAGCAAAUCACAGUCUACUGAUGAGUCACAGGGGUUUCUCUGGUCCAUUCAUUUUAGUCCUAAGUGGUACUAUUGUUAGAGCUAAAACUAUUUAAGUCUGCUUUCAUGCAAAUCAUAUGCAGAGCACAGAUUUUAGUUUGACUUUAGACCAAGGUAUUUGGCGGGAAAUUACUAGAGUGGUUUUUCUAGUUAACACAUUUACUAAUGUUUCCUUAAUUUUUCCACCCCAACAGGCAAUAAUUAAGGUGGAAUUUGCCUCACAUGAAGUUUUAUUAUUUUAGUCAUUAAAAUAUUUUCCAACACUACGGAGAAGCAAAAAGCAAUUUGCGUUGUUUUAAAAAAUAAGUAGACAUUUUCCUGAGUUUUUAUAGCUUUUCCUCAGUGAAUGGUAUUAUAAUGAGAGUAGUUGGGUAGACUUUCUGGUGUAGGCCCUUGAGCAUGAUACUUAAGGGUAGAUUUACUUGAGGGAAAAAUUUCAUUCACUCUUAAAAUUGGCUUUGAGAAUAAUCCAAAUGUAAACUUAAAAAACACACAUGGUACAGAAUGUAUCUUACAUAAAUACCCAUUCUCAAGUGGAAUAAUUUCAUUGCAUACUCUCUGGAUUGCAAAAUGCCUUUAAAAGUCUUUCUCAUAUCCUAUUCUCACAAGAGGUCUCAUUCUAGAUGAGAAAUACACUAAUCUUUUGAGACAAACGAAAUACUGCAAAUGAAUGUUAUAUAUUUAAGUAUACAGACCAACAGUAAAUUUAGAAAAUGUUGCCUCAUGAAAAUCUUAAACCAAAUACAGCUAAUAUUUUCAUGGUGAAAACAAGUGGUACAUUUGAUUGUAAAAUAAGACCAUUUCCCAAGUCAUAUUCAAAGCCACAUAAUGCCUUCUCAUACUGUCUUAUUUUCUCUUAGUUUGCAAAAUUACCAUAGAAGCUUAGGAAUUCUCAUGUGGUGGUGUAUUUAGUUUGUGGUUAUCCAGAUCUUUAUUCUUUUAUUCUCUUUCUUAGUUGGUACAUUAGCCCUUUUACCAAAGAAGCAGGGAAGGAAUGGGGCUUAUUUCUAAAUUUCAUAUUCACUUACACAUUUAAAAAGAGUAUACCUUUUCCUGUUUUCAGGUUUAAAUUAAUUCCUACUGGGAGAAAAAGUUGACUUUAUCAAUAUUUGGAACUUUACAUGUCUCUAAGCAACUGAAGUUA